ACAUGCAGUCGAGCGGUAACAGGGGGAGCUUGCUCCCCGCUGACAAGCGCGGGAGGGAUGAGAAAUGCACAUGAAACUGCGCCUCUGUGGGGGAUAGCCCGGGGAAACCCGGAUUAUUACCGCAUACACUCUUUGGGGAAAAGCAGGGGAUCUUCUGACCUUGCGCUAUUGGAUGUGCCUAUGUCGGAUUAUCUCGAUGUUGGGGUGAAAGCCUACCAUGGCGACAAUCCGUAGCUGUGCUGAGAGGAUGAUCAUCCUCAUCGGGACUGGACACGGCCCGAACUCCUACGGGAGGCACCAUUGGGGAAUAUUGGACCAUGGGGGCAACCCUGAUCCAGCC
rnacentral:rRNA from 1 species